rnacentral:lncRNA from 1 species
CCAUCCACAGUGACUUUCUUCUAUUGGCUCAGGCAGUCAUGAACAAACAUGAUCUGAAGGGCCAACAGAGGAGCUCAGGUAAAUGUAAGGAUGUAGUUCGUGAUACCAGAGUUUUUAUGGAUGGUAAUACAGUGUGGGGUAGUUCUUUUCCCUGAAGAUUUCUUGCAGACAGCAAAUGUCAUCCACCUUAGAUGGAGUGGCUGGAGAUCAGAGGGAUGUAACUGGGCCUACCAAGGAUUGCCCAAGAUUGACAUCGAGUAGCUGCAUUGUGAUUGUGGUUCUCCAGCUUGUAGAUGAAGUCACCAAAAUGGUUGCCCUGCAUAUAAUUGAUACUCUGUUGAGUAUCAGUGCCCUUUGGACAGAUCAUCUCUGAAAAUACCAGACUAGAGCUCCUGCUCUGGCUACUCAUGUGUUGGUGUUGAUCACCCAUGGUUGCUCCCCUCUGGAACAUCAUCCAAAGCAAGCAGGUGACUCAAGGCUGGAGGAGUUAUAGAACGACCUCACAGAGCAUGCAGGACUACUCUUUCCUCACCUGCUCAGUCUACUCACUUGAGUCUGACUCACAGAGCCAGAAGGAUGGAAAAUCCUUCAUCAACUUUGAUUCAGAGGAAGAAAUACUCUAUCCCCACCCUGGAACCUGGGAUUACUCACUGAAAGAGUGUCUGAGGUUAUCUCCUACUAUUGGAAACUUCACCAUACUACUUUUGAGAAGACAUGGGAAGAUUUAGCAGUUUAUAAUUUAUAAUCCAGCCCUCAAAAUACCGGGAAAGUAUGUCUUUAGAGAGCUUUAUAAAUAAGCCUCAUAUAGGGUUUAUGCCCAGCCUGGAAGUUUAAUGGAAUGGUUUAACACUCACAGACGAUUAUUGGGCUGAUAUGCUUCAAAUAAAUUCCCUCUUCUGUGAUAGUAACA